rnacentral:rRNA from 1 species
CCUACGGGAGGCUGCAGUGGGGAAUUUUGGACAAUGGGCGAAAGCCUGAUCCAGCAAUGCCGCGUGCAGGAUGAAGGCCUUCGGGUUGUAAACUGCUUUUGUACGGAACGAAAAGGUUCUCCUUAAUACGGAGGGCUAAUGACGGUACCGGAAGAAUAAGCACCGGCUAACUACGUGCCAGCAGCCGCGGUAAUACGUAGGGUGCGAGCGUUAAUCGGAAUUACUGGGCGUAAAGCGUGCGCAGGCGGUUAUGUAAGACAGAUGUGAAAUCCCCGGGCUCAACCUGGGAACUGCAUUUGUGACUGCAUGGCUAGAGUACGGUAGAGGUGUAUGGAAUUCCGCGACUAGCGGUAAAAAGAGUCUUUCCCUGCACGAAGACCUUCCGCUACAGCUUUCUUAUGAUAAGCUGUAGAGGCUCCAUCUUCAAUUUGAUCGGGGAUGAGAGCAGGAGUAGCAACCGUACCU